rnacentral:rRNA from 1 species
AUUGAACGCUGGCGGCAGGCUUAACACAUGCAAGUCGAGCGGAGUGAUGGUGCUUGCACUAUCACUUAGCGGCGGACGGGUGAGUAAUGCUUAGGAAUCUGCCAUUUAGUGGGGGACAACAUUCCGAAAGGAAUGCUAAUACCGCAUACGUCCUACGGGAGAAAGCAGGGGAUCUUCGGACCUUGCGCUAAAUGAUGAGCCUAAGUCGGAUUAGCUAGUUGGUGGGGUAAAGGCCUACCAAGGCGACGAUCUGUAGCGGGUCUGAGAGGAUGGUCCGCCACACUGGGACUGGGAAACGGCCCAGACUCCUACGGGAGGCAGCAGUGGGGAAUAUUGGACAAUGGGCACAAGCCUGAUCCAGCCAUGCCGCGUGUGUGAAGAAGGCCUUAUGGUUGUAAAGCACUUUAAGCGAGGAGGAGGCUACUUUAGAUAAUACCUAGAGAUAGUGGACGUUACUCGCAGAAUAAGCACCGGCUAACUCUGUGCCAGCCGCCGCCGUAACAC